rnacentral:misc_RNA from 1 species
UGGAUUUUGUGCUAGGAAGUUGCUCGGGAAAAAUAUGCUUCUGUGACCAUAACUCAGGCUGUUAUUGUUUAACCAUGUAAGGAUUAAAUUAGAUCGAACAAAUAAAUCUACCUACCAACUUUUUAACUUAUACUCUGGGUCUGGGGGAUCCUUCAGCGUGCAAGUUAAAACCACAUUUCAAAAUCCAAAUAUGUUGAUUCAAGACUGAACCAACACUACAAGACAUGAUUUUUCUCAUAAAGAUACCAAGUUAAUAAGGGUAAAUGAUGGCAAUAAAAAUAAACUAGGAAGGGUUAUCAUCAAUAACCUAUUUAACCAUGACCAGUUGACUCAAAAUGUAGAAACCUUGACCACAAAAGAAGCACAAGUAAAAAAAUGUGAGUUUUAGUACAUGAUAUACGACAAUAACUAAAGUCCUAGGUAAAUUAUAAAAUUCAUAGGAGGAUUGUG